ACACUCUCUCUCGAACUUGAACUUGCCAGAGAGAACUCAGGCACUGACUGUGACGACGCGGGUGGGGAGAGACUGUGCACCUACACGUGUCACUUCACAAAGGCCUCCAGGGGCUUAUGAUCAGGCAAAGGAGACACCAGGAAAGAGGAGCAGAGUGGCUAGGGCAGUGCACUGCAGAUGCAUGGACGAAAGCUCGCAGCGACACAGGUAUGGGGUGUCUAAUCAGGGAUGAGUGUGAGCAGCAGAAUGAGGAGCAUGCUUUCCCAGAGGAAGAGAGGAAGCCACUGGAGAGAUGAAGGAUGCCAUGGACAGGAGAUGAGUCCUGGUCCAGCCUGUAAUAAGAUGGAAAUGAAGAGAGCUGCCGAAUAAUGAAAAAUCACUCAAAAGGGGCAGAUUCUGAUGACGGCACAGGGGCCACCAAAGACUGGAGAUAUGAAGAGUGG
rnacentral:lncRNA from 1 species